GUGGCGGACGGGUGAGUAACACGUGGGAACGUGCCUUUAGGUUCGGAAUAAGCCCGGGAAACUGGGUCUAAUACCGGAUGUGCCCUUCGGGGGAAAGAUUUAUCGCCUUUAGAGCGGCCCGCGUCUGAUUAGCUAGUUGGUGGUGUAAUGGACCACCAAGGCGACGAUCAGUAGCUGGUCUGAGAGGAUGAUCAGCCACAUUGGGACUGAGACACGGCCCAAACUCCUACGGGAGGCAGCAGUGGGGAAUCUUGCGCAAUGGGCGAAAGCCUGACGCAGCCAUGCCGCGUGAAUGAUGAAGGUCUUAGGAUUGUAAAAUUCUUUCACCGGGGACGAUAAUGACGGUACCCGGAGAAGAAGCCCCGGCUAACUUCGUGCCAGCAGCCGCGGUAAUACGAAGGGGGCUAGCGUUGCUCGGAAUUACUGGGCGUAAAGGGAGCGUAGGCGGACAUUUAAGUCAGGGGUGAAAUCCCGGGGCUCAACCUCGGAACUGCCUUUGAUACUGGGUGUCUUGAGUGUGAUAGAGGUAUGUGGAACUCCGAGUGUAGAGGUGAAAUUCGUAGAUAUUCGGAAGAACACCAGUGGCGAAGGCGACAUACUGGAUCAUUACUGACGCUGAGGCUCGAAAGCGUGGGGAGCAAACAGGAUUAGAUACCCUGGUAGUCCAC
rnacentral:rRNA from 1 species